CUGGGUUUUGUGAUAAUGGGUUGUCUAUAGCAAGGUCAGCAGAAUUACUUCCAUCCUUUGGCAAAUGUGGAUCAACCAGCAUACACCGUCUUAAAGAAGCAUAUCUCCUACGAGAAUCGGCAGUGACUCUGCGAAGAUCGUCAUUCGUAGAAGAAGAGGGAGAAGGCAGAAUCCCAAGAUCUAUACGCCAUUGAACCCCUCUAAGAUUUGCAAAACAACGACGACUCUCUUCACUGGACUUUGAACAUGCGGAUUCCAGCAUUGUUCUCUCAAUUGCAGCUGGAGACAUA
rnacentral:misc_RNA from 1 species